rnacentral:rRNA from 1 species
UUAAGAAAAUAAGUGCAAGCGGUGGAUGCCUUGGCAUUCAGAGGCGAUGAAGGACGUGAUAAUCUGCGAUAAGCUUCGGUUAGCUGGUAAAUGAGCUAUGACCCGGAGAUUUCCGAAUGGGGGAACCCACCUGACACAAGUUGGGUACUCACUCGAUAUAGAGUGUAGAGCGAACGAGGGGAACUGAAACAUCUAAGUACCCUUAGGAAGAGAAAUCAAUUGAGAUUCCCGUAGUAGUGGCGAGCGAAGUGGGAAGAGCCUGGUAUGAUUUAGCUGUAAUUAUAGUAGAACAAGUUGGGAAGCUUGACGAUAGAGGGUGAUAGUCCCGUAUACGAAAUAAUCACAGUGGAACUAAGCAUACGAACAAGUAGGACGGGGCACGUGGAACCUUGUCUGAAUAUGGGGGGACCAUCCUCCAAGGCUAAAUACUCCUGAAUGACCGAUAGUGAACUAGUACCGUGAGGGAAAGGUGAAAAGAACCCUUAUAAAGGGAGUGAAAUAGAAUCUGAAACCGCUUGCAUACAAGCAGUAGGAGCAUGAUUUAGUCAUGUGACUGCGUACCUUUUGUAUAAUGGGUCAGCGAGUUAUUUUUAGUGGCGAGGAUAACUGAAUAAGGGAUCCGUAGCGAAAGCGAGUUUUAAUAGGGCGACUAGUCGCUAGGAGUAGACCCGAAACCGGCGCGAUCUAUCCAUGGCCAGGUUGAAGAUUAGGUAGUACUAAUUGGAGGACCGAACCCAAUACUGUUGCAAAAGUAUGGGAUGAGCUGUGGAUCGGAGUGAAAGGCUAAUCAAGCACGGAGAUAGCUGGUUCUCCCCGAAAACUAUUUAGGUAGUGCCUCGUGUAUAACUCAUUGGGGUAAAGCACUGUUUCGACAAUGGGGGUUUUACGACCUUACUGACUCGAUGCAAACUCAGAAUACGAUGAAGUUCGAUCACGGGAGACACACUGCGGGUGCUAAGGUCCGCAGUGGAAAGGGAAACAGCCCAGACCGCCAACUAAGGUCCCAAAGUCAUAGCUAAGUGGGAAACGAAGUGGGAAGGCCCAGACAGCCAGGAGGUUGGCUUAGAAGCAGCCACCCUUUAAAGAAAGCGUAAUAGCUCACUGGUCGAGUCGGCCUGCACGUAAGAUUUAACGGGGCUAAGCUAUGCACUGAAGUUGCGGAAUAUAUUUAGUAUAUUGGUAGGGGAGCGUUCUGUAAGCCGAUGAAGGUGAAUUGAGAAGUUUGCUGGAGGUAUCAGAAGUGCGAAUGCUGACAUGAGUAACGUAAAAUAAGUGAGAUUCUUAUUGGCCGAAAACCCAAGGGUUCCUACGCAAUGUUAAUCAACGUAGGGUAAGCCGGCCCCUAAGGCGUAGCUGAAGAGUGAAGUCGAUGGGAAACAGGUUAAUAUUCCUGUGCUGCUUAUAUGAACGAAGGAGGGACGGAGAAGGUUAGGUAGGCCUGGCGAAUGGUUGUCCAGGUGAAAGUAUGUAGGUAGGAAUGCUAGGCAAAUCCGGUGUUCUGUUGAUCUGAGAUACGAGACGAAGUUAAACUUGUUUGACGAAGCUAUUGAUACCAUGCUUCCAGGAAAAGCUUCUAAGUAUAUUGUAUAAGUGACCGUACUGUAAACCGACACUGGUGGGUAGGUAGAGAAUACUAAGGCUAUGAGAUAACUCUGGUGAAGGAACUAGGCAAAAUGACACCGUAACUUUGGAAGAAGGUGUGCCCUUGAUGGUGAUGAGACUUGCUCUUUGAGCUGUUGGGGGUUGCAGAUACCAGGUGGCUGCGACUGUUUAUCAAAAACACAGCACUCUGCGAAAUCGUAAGAUGAAGUAUAGGGUGUGACGCCUGCCCGGUGCUGGAAGGUUAAUUGAAGGGGUUAGCGCAAGCGAAGCUCUGGAUCGAAGCCCCAGUAAACGGCGGCCGUAACUAUAACGGUCCUAAGGUAGCGAAAUUCCUUGUCGGGUAAGUUCCGACCUGCACGAAUGGCGUAACGAUGGCCACACUGUCUCCACCAGAGACUCAGUGAAAUUGAAAUCGCUGUGAAGAUGCAGUGUACCCGCGGUUAGACGGAAAGACCCCGUGAACCUUUACUAUAGCUUUGCACUGGACUUUGAAUAUUUAUGUGUAGGAUAGGUGGGAGACCAUGAAGCAGCUACGCCAGUAGUUGUGGAGUCGUCCUUGAAAUACCACCCUUGAAUAUUUGAAGUUCUAACUCAGGAG